UACGUAUGGUGCAAGCGUUAUCCGGAUUUACUGGGUGUAAAGGGAGCGCAGGCGGCACGGCAAGCCUGAUGUGAAAGCCCGCGGCCCAACCGCGGGACUGCAUUGGGAACUACCGGGCUGGAGUGCCGGAGAGGUAGGCGGAAUUCCUAGUGUAGCGGUGAAAUGCGUAGAUAUUAGGAGGAACACCAGUGGCGAAGGCGGCCUACUGGACUGCAACUGACGUUGAGGCCCGAAAGCGUGGGGAGCAAACAGG
rnacentral:rRNA from 1 species